UACAGAGGGGGCAAGCGUUAUUCGGAAUUAUUGGGCGUAAAGGGCGCGUAGGCGGCUUUGCAAGUGACGGGUGAAAUCCCUCGGCUUAACCGAGGAACUGCCUGUCAAACUGCAUGGCUUGAGACCGGGAGAGGUGAGUGGAAUUCCCAGUGUAGCGGUGAAAUGCGUAGAUAUUGGGAGGAACACCAGUGGCGAAGGCGGCUCACUGGACCGGUACUGGACGCUG
rnacentral:rRNA from 1 species